AAAAGCCAUUUGUGAAUUUAAUCUCUACUCAGAGUUUGCAACAAAUACACGAGACAAAUCUUCUAAAACCUCGUUGAAAACCCCCGUCUCUCUUUCUCUCUCUCUUUCUCUCGAGCUGUAGCUCUUUUGCAGCGUUACCGCCGAGAUCGCCGGAAGCUCUUAGAGUUUCUUUUAUCUUCUGUUUUGAUCAAGGAACCCCGAACUCCAUCCGGUCCCACCAAUUCUCUCUCUAAUCUCGAUUUUGAUUCUCUCAGCUCCGAUUAUAUCCUCCUCUGCCUAAAAUCAGGUGGAGUUAUGAUGUUACUGAAGCGACUAAGGCGUCCUGUCACGGAAAAUUGAUGCUUAGGCUGUGAAGAUUAUAGAACUUGAAUUCUGCUUCGGACGUAGCUUGUAGUUGUUUUCUUUUGCCAUUUUCCGCUAAUCAUUAAAUUGGAAAGAAACAUGAUUAUGAAGGUCACAAAGAUUGGGUUGACGCUGGUGAUUUAUGAAAUCUGUUAGCUCCGAAAAAGCUGUAGUUGAACUUGAAGGCUUGAAAAUAAUGGAAGAAUGCUGGUGGAACAACUGGUUUUGAGCAUAUGUGCUACGACUUUAACUUCUUAUUUUCUAUUAAUAGUAUUUGCAGAGUCAAUCACAUACAAGGAACUCCUAUUUUCUUGUUUCUGAUCCAGACUUGGCUGGAUCUCCCCCUAGGCGUGUACCUUCUCCUAUUACUGUGCGCCAAGCCACUAAUGCAUCUUAAUCAUCGAGUGUAAUGGGAAGUUCAAGUGUUGAGAAUGCCACAAAAUUUGGGGAUGACUGUGGUCCUAGAUAUAAAGUAGCAACAAAUACACCUACUAGGCCUUCACAAAAUUCAGAAAUUCCCCCACUUGGUUUACCUAGCCUUUACACAGUUGACAAUAAUCAGCUCUAUCCAUCUGCUCCUCCUUAACUCGCUAUACGGAGACUGUUAUUUCAGUAAUUAAGGCUGCUUGAGUGUGCACCAUUGGAUGGCAAUUUGAAUUAUAAGUUGAAUGAACUGACAAGUGACAAUACCAAAACUCUGCAUUAGGUUGAAUACUCUUCAACAUCUAAUCUAGCAAAAGAUGAGCCCUUGGAAGAGAUUAUUGAUGCAGUAUUUGCAACCACUUUUAGCAUCAUCAAGGAUACUGCAGCAAGUUCUAUCAAAAAAAUUUGUGCCUUUACUAGAAAGCUUGCUAACUUCAUACAAAUUUGCAAAAUGUUUAUGUGAAUUAUAGCAUUUACUCCUUGUAUAUACUUGGCAUUUGAUACUAAUGAAGUAGUCUGUAAAGAUGUAACUUCUAGGAACAAAAGUUGUAUUUUGGGAUUUGAGAGACAGAUUCUUGUUUCAUUUAUAUCAUGGAGAUGUUGCAAGUUCUCAUUUGAAAA